CGAGUCGGAGCCGGAGCCUGAGCCGCGCGCUGUGUCUCUGCUGCGUCCGCCGAGGCCCCCGAGUGUCAGGGACAAAAGCCUCCGCCUGCUCCCGCAGCCGGGGCUCAUCUGCCGCCGCCGCCGCGCUGAGGAGAGUUCGCCGCCGUCGCCGCCCGUGAGGAUCCGAGAGCCAUGUCGGCCAGCAGCCUCUUGGAGCAGGUACAGGCCCGGCCCGCAUGCCUCGGCCAUUGUGUGAGGCGAGAAGGAGCCCGACUAGGCCCGGGCCCGCCGCCCCCGGGCAGGCCGAGCCGAGCCGAGGCGUCGUCUCUUGCGGGCCAGGUUUCGGGCCUCUCAGGCCGGCCGCGCCCGGCGCCUCUCCCUCAGCCUGCUCUUCCCGCUUCUCCUCCGGCCUCGGAUCCCACGGGCCGGGCCGCGCCGCGUUCCCUUCUUUCGGCGGGCCUCGUUUUCCUUCCUUGUUUCCUUCCCCUGCCUUAAAGCCCUGGGUUCCUCGCGUCGCCAGUGGCGCGUCUGCCGCGUUUUCUCCCCUGCCCCACGGGCCUGGCGCUUUCCCCCGCCUCCCAUUUUCAGCCUCUUCCUCACUACCAUUCCUGACGCCUCCCCUCGGGCCUGCUCCUUUAUUCUCCCUUCGGGCCCUGCCUUAAUUUGUUCUUCCUUUUCCAUUUCUCCUUUGGACAACUUGCUGCUCGGCGACGUUUCCUUCCCCUGCAGAGACCAAAAGGUCAAGGAAACAAAGUACAAAAUGGAUCUGUACAUCAAAAGGAUGGAUUAAACGAUGAUGAUUUUGAACCUUACUUGAGUCCACAGGCAAGGCCCAAUAAUGCAUAUACUGCCAUGUCAGAUUCCUACUUACCCAGUUACUACAGUCCCUCCAUUGGCUUCUCCUAUUCUUUGGGUGAAGCUGCUUGGUCUACGGGGGGUGACACAGCCAUGCCCUACUUAACUUCUUAUGGACAGCUGAGCAACGGAGAGCCCCACUUCCUACCAGAUGCAAUGUUUGGGCAACCAGGAGCCCUAGGUAGCACUCCAUUUCUUGGUCAGCAUGGUUUUAAUUUCUUUCCCAGUGGGAUUGACUUCUCAGCAUGGGGAAAUAACAGUUCUCAGGGACAGUCUACUCAGAGCUCUGGAUAUAGUAGCAAUUAUGCUUAUGCACCUAGCUCCUUAGGUGGAGCCAUGAUUGAUGGACAGUCAGCUUUUGCCAAUGAGACCCUCAAUAAGGCUCCUGGCAUGAAUACUAUAGACCAAGGGAUGGCAGCACUGAAGUUGGGUAGCACAGAAGUUGCAAGCAAUGUUCCAAAAGUUGUAGGUUCUGCUGUUGGUAGCGGGUCCAUUACUAGUAACAUCGUGGCUUCCAAUAGUUUGCCUCCAGCCACCAUUGCUCCUCCAAAACCAGCAUCUUGGGCUGAUAUUGCUAGCAAGCCUGCAAAACAGCAACCUAAACUGAAGACCAAGAAUGGCAUUGCAGGGUCAAGUCUUCCGCCACCCCCGAUAAAGCAUAACAUGGAUAUUGGAACUUGGGAUAACAAGGGUCCUGUUGCAAAAGCCCCCUCACAGGCUUUGGUUCAGAAUAUAGGUCAGCCAACCCAGGGGUCUCCUCAGCCUGUAGGUCAGCAGGCUAACAAUAGCCCACCAGUGGCUCAGGCAUCAGUAGGGCAACAGACACAGCCAUUGCCUCCACCUCCACCACAGCCUGCCCAGCUUUCAGUCCAGCAACAGGCAGCUCAGCCAACCCGCUGGGUAGCACCUCGGAACCGUGGCAGUGGGUUCGGUCAUAAUGGGGUGGAUGGUAAUGGAGUAGGACAGUCUCAGGCUGGUUCUGGAUCUACUCCUUCAGAACCCCACCCAGUGUUGGAGAAGCUUCGGUCCAUUAAUAACUAUAACCCCAAAGAUUUUGACUGGAAUCUGAAACAUGGCCGGGUUUUCAUCAUUAAGAGCUACUCUGAGGACGAUAUUCACCGUUCCAUUAAGUAUAAUAUUUGGUGCAGCACAGAGCAUGGUAACAAGAGACUGGAUGCUGCUUAUCGUUCCAUGAACGGGAAAGGCCCCGUUUACUUACUUUUCAGUGUCAACGGCAGUGGACACUUCUGUGGCGUGGCAGAAAUGAAAUCUGCUGUGGACUACAACACAUGUGCAGGUGUGUGGUCCCAGGACAAAUGGAAGGGUCGUUUUGAUGUCAGGUGGAUUUUUGUGAAGGACGUUCCCAAUAGCCAACUGCGACACAUUCGCCUAGAGAACAACGAGAAUAAACCAGUGACCAACUCUAGGGACACUCAGGAAGUGCCUCUGGAAAAGGCUAAGCAGGUGUUGAAAAUUAUAGCCAGCUACAAGCACACCACUUCCAUUUUUGAUGACUUCUCACACUAUGAGAAACGCCAAGAGGAAGAAGAAAGUGUUAAAAAGGAACGUCAAGGUCGUGGGAAAUAAAAGGCAGUUCUACACAGACUGCAGCAACGGUUGCAUCUGCAUAUCCUAAGAGGAAAAAAUGACCUUCAAGAGAAUUAGGACUUUUUUCUUAAUUUCACUGACUUCAGAGACGAUUGCAGACUUGCAGUUUAAGUAUUGGAAUUUCACAAAAGACAUAGGACUUAACUGGAAAA
rnacentral:sRNA from 1 species